GGCUGUUCUGGGGGCGGGGUUGUCUCGUAGGUGUUGCCAACAUGGAGGCGGGCCUGUCCCUGAGUCCGGGAGGUAUCGGAAACAGAGCUGUCCGGAGGCGGCGCGCAGGUUGGGGUGAGGCGUAGCCGGGGCAUUAUUUCCGCGCCCUGAGCCACGCCCGUGGUCUCCCGUUCUAUUUGCGGGCCACACCUGGGGCCGUUCUGCGGGUUCUCGGGGCGCCUACCAGAUGCCCACAUGCCUCGCUCUCUCACUUCCUUGAGGUCUACUAUCAAAGUCUAGACUGAAGGAAACUGUUUGAGAAAGAGAAUCUGGUGUCUUCAACAACAGCAACAAAACUACGGUCUCUGCUGCUCAGGCUGGAGUGCAAUGGCAUGAUCUCAGCUCACUGUAACCUCCAUCUCCUGAGUUUAAGUGAUUCUCCUGCCUCAGCCUCCUGAAUAGCUAAGACCACAAGUGUGCACCACCACACCCUGCCAAUUUCUGUAUUUUUAGUAGAUUCUCACCAUAUUGGUCAGGCUGGUCUCAAAUUCCUGACCUCAAGUGAUCACCUGCCCCGGCCUCCCAAAGUGCUAGGAUUACAGGUGUGAGCCACCACGUCCAACCCAAUGUUAACAAAUUUUGAAAAAUAAGACAAUCAUGGAAAUAAAUGAUGACACUAAGGAAUUAUUCUUUUAGGUUUGAUAAUGGUGACUUGUAGUAAUGUUUUCAAAAGACUUCAUCUCUUUAGACGUAUAUAUAUUUAAACAUGUACAGAUGAAAAGACAUGAUGUCUGCUGUUUGCUUCAAAAUAAUCUUGGGUGGGAGGAGUGGGGCUACAGAUGAAAUAAGAUAGACCUGUAGUUGACUGUUUUUGGGACUGGGGAAUGGCUGCUUGGGGGUUCACUGUACUAUUCUGUCUACUUUUGCAUAUGUUUAACGUUUUCAGUAAUUAAGAGUUAAAAUAACAAACACACGAAACAUACCUUAGAAUUGGUGGCAGGGAUUACAAAUGUAGGUAUAGAUGAAGAAAAAGAGGUUAACUUAGCUAAAGAGGAGAGUCCCUUGGGGCAAUUAAGAGGGAUUAUGGUGAUGAGAUUCAACCUGCUUUUCCCUUAGUGUUAGAAUAAAAAAGUUGAAGUGAAUCAGACCCACCCUAAUGUCUCUGAGUAAACCCAUCAGCUCCCCAAAUCUCUCAGAAGGGAAGGAAUUGAAAGAGGUCCAGAGCUUGGGGCUGAGGGUCCCAGUCACUGCUAGCUGCUCACUAUAUCUGUAGCUCUUUCUUUUUUGUAGCAGAAUCUUGAUUUCCUCAGAGACACCAAAUGCCCAUUUAAAAACAGCCAGGCCUUCAGACCUCCUGGUACUUCAGUCUGGAAGCCCUAAUCACUAGACUUCGAUUAUAUUUUAGCAGCUAGGACUGUCCUGGUCGCUAAAAUAGAAAUAGAAGUCUAGUAGUUAGGGCUUCUAGAAAAAAUAUGAUUUUAUGUGGGUAACACCUCCGCUAUGGACACCGAGGAAGGAGAACUCUGCAGACCCCAGGCAUGAUUAGUGCCUGAAGUAUAACUCACUGCUUACUUAUAUCUAGCAUAUAUAUAUAAAAUCACACUUAGUCCCAUAUAAUCUUUCUAUAUAAUCAUAUAGGUAUUGUAGUCAGAGCUAUACUGACACAUUUAGUGCUGAUUUAUAGAAUCCUUCUAUAUAACCAUAUAGUAGUUUGUGGUAGGAGGAAUGCCUAGAGCAGUCACAGAACAGAAGCAGUACAUGGGAAAACAGCCAGACCAGGACAAGAACCAAAGACCCAGGCAGUGGCAUCCCUGCCUGAAAGAGUAUACGCUGUAUGGCAGGCUUGGUGCAAGAGCCUCUCCUCCUGAUAAAGGAGUUGUAGUACCUUGCAUCCAGUUCCUGUGGAAAGCAGGCCUCAGGCCUGAGAUCCUAGAAAUAACCAAGGAGAAGAACCCCUCUGGUGUGACCAGACAUGGAGGCUGUACACCCUGUCAGUCUUUUCUCACUUCUGUGCUAGCUCAAGUCAUCCUCCCAUAAAUAUUUUAAGAGAAGAGCCCAAGUCUGCCAGCUCCCACUGCAUUAAGCUUACAGUAUCCUUCUAUUAGAAAUCCUUUGAAGUCUCCAAGCCCCAGAUAAGAAGUGUUGCGCAGGACACCUGUUGCGCACAUCCCGCCUCCUUGCCUCGGUGACCUAAUGGGGUGGACUCCUUUUUAGUAAACGACCCUCUACUACUGCGCAUGGCAGAGCCCACGACUGCACAUGGCCCACUUCUCUGCCCAAGUGACAUAAUGGGGUGGCCUCCUCACUUGUGACUCACGUGAUUAUGUAUACCCUAUCACUAAGCCUGUCACUCACGACCCUUACCCCUGCUUGUACCUAAUAAAUACAGAUGCUUCUGGGCAUUCAAGGCCUCGCCUAUCUCUGCUCACAGGUGACAUGGCUCCCCGAGUCCAGCUGGUCUUCACCAGUUCUUUAGUGUCCUAUCUCUUUACUUCUCGGAUCCUGUUCCUCAGCACAGCAUAAGGGAUACCCCACAACCCUGUGGGGCCAACAAUCCUACAAUUUUAUAAACUAAAAGUAGGUGUAUCCAUUCUAAUUUAUUAUUACAUGGGUAUAAUGUCAUUACUACAAUCUUGACAAUGACAAUCUUGUAGCCAUAAGGAUAAAAUAACAUACCAUGACAGGAGUGGGCAGUGAUGAGGAGACAGAGCAUGACUAUGGGACAUGAUGGACUCACAGCCACAGAGACGAAGUACCAACCUAAGCUUCAUGUUUCAUAGAAAAAAUAAAUGGCUACAUGGUUAAUCUGCUAUAAUUAAGGCUUCUGCUACAUGUGGCCAAACAGAAAUAAGUUGUCACUAAUAUCUAAAACUCAAAAUAUCCAGAAUGAAACUCCUGAUCUCCUCUAAUCCAUCUUCUUGUCUUUUCACAGAUCAAUAAAUAGCAGCACCUGUCUCUAAUUGUUUGUCUUUUUCAGUUCAAAAAUCUCAACUCCUCUUUCUCCUUACUCAAUCCAUCAGCCAAGUCUGUUGGGUUCUCCCUUUGAAGUGUGUCCAGAAUGGAAUCUGUUGUAUGUAGCUCCAUAGCUUCUGUCACCCUUAUCUGGGUGGAGGGGUGACAGACACCCUCCAUCUCUCCUGUGGUCUACUGCAGUGGUCUCCUGAUUGAUCUGCUGCUUCAACCUUUGCCUCCCACAGUCUGUUCUCCACCAUCAAUCAGAGGGUUCCUUUGGAAAUUUAAGUCAUAUCAUAGCAAUCUUCUGUAGAGAAUGCAAAAUGCCUUCCCUUCUCACUGCAAAUAAGAUCUAAAGUUCUACUCCUGGCCUAUCAGGUCCUAUAUGACCUGAGCUGUCAUUCACUCAGCUCCCAUCAUUCUGGCUUCCUUGAUGCUCCUGGAACGUACCAAGCAGGCUUCCAUUCCAGAUUUUCACCCUUGCUCCUGACUCUACCUGGAAUCCUCUCACAGAUGCCCACAUGGCUCAGUCCUUCACUUCCUUGAGGCCUCCUUUCAAAUGCCACCUAACAGACCUGCCUUCCAAGCUGGCCAUGGGCUUGUUUUCUCUCAUCUCCAUUCACCUUUCAUCAUGGUCAUUCUCUGUGUUGCAGAAAACUGCUUUUCUGUGGCUCCCACCUGUUCCCUGGAUCCUGGUGGGCUCUGCCCAUGGAAGGUAGAGGUGGAAGACUGAAAUCAGGAAGGAAGAGGGAAGGAGGCUAAGUGUGUGCUUCUCUCUUCGGGCUGUGUUGCUGGUAACCACAGUGUCUUCUCUGAGACUCUAGCUCCCAGCACACCGACCUUGAAUCUGUGGUUCCAGCUCCUGCUGGGAAGGGGUAGCAUGGCUCCAGCUUCUACCAGGUGGCUGCAGCACCUGGACUCCACUAACACCACCACCUCCCUCUGCUGGUUCUGCUGUUGCUCAUCUCUGCAUUACCUGCUCUCCCCUAUGUGUAUUUUCAGCUCCUCUAUCAUGAGUAUAGUCAAUGCCCCACACUAAAUCCCUUCUGCUAACAACACCAACAAAUCCUGACAAAUUCAACUUGGCCUGACUGAUAGAACUUCCCUGAACACCUGAAAUAAAAUAGCCUCCAACUGCCUUCCUGUUGUCAUGCAGUCCACUUACAUUAUUUUCCUUCAUGCAUCUUAUCAAUACCUGAUAGAAUACAUACGUAUUAAUUUCCUUAAUUGCCUUUCUCUCCCCUGCAAUAUAAACCUCACAAUGGCAUGGUUUGUCUGCCUUGAUCUCUCACACAAACAAAUGUUCUUUCAUGUAUUUGUUACUGAGAAGCACUUUCUAUGUUCCAGGCACUAGACAUGGAGAUAGAGUGGUGAGUAAGACAAGCUUUUCUAUUCAGUGUUGGCCACAGGAGGGAGUGGCAGAGAGAGCCUAGCCUCUCUUGCGUCUUGGUGCAUUUUAAUCAUCCUGUUUUUGAUUUGUGGUGGUUCCAAAACUGGGUGGAAAGUCACCUGUAUUGACAUGGAAGCUCGUUGAAGAGGGGGAGCAACUCUAUUGUUUAACCUGAGUCAGACUUCCUAAGGGGGAACAGACACUCACCUGACAUGGAGUGGGAUCUUGGGCACCUUCUUCGAGACCUUGAACCGGGCCCUGUCCCCAUAGGUGUCGGUGAAGUACAC